AAGCUCGUAGUUGAAUUUCGGGGUUAGUAGGUUGGUCAUGCCUCUGGUAUGUACUGGUCUCACUGAUUCCUCCUUCCUGAUGAACCGUAAUGCCAUUAAUUUGGUGUUGCGGGGAAUUUGGACUGUUACUUUGAAAAAAUUAGAGUGUUUAAAGCAAGCUAACGCUUGAAUACAUUAGCAUGGAAUAAUGAAAUAGGACGUUCGAUCCUAUUUUGUUGGUUUCUAGGAUUGACGUAAUGAUUAAUAGGGAUAGUUGGGGGCAUUAGUAUUCAAUUGUCAGAGGUGAAAUUCUUGGAUUUAUUGAAGACUAACUACUGCGAAAGCAUUUGCCAAGGAUGUUUUCAUUAAUCAAGAACGAAAGUUAGGGGAUCGAAGACGAUCAGAUACCGUCGUAGUCUUAACCAUAAACUAUGCCGACUAGGGAUCGGAUGAUGUUAAUUUUUUAAUGACUCAUUCGGCGCCUUACGGGAAACCAAAGUGUUUGGGUUCCGGGGGGAGUAUGGUCGCCAGGNUGAAACUUAACGGAAUUGACGGAAGGGCACCACCAGGCGUGGAGCCUGCGGCUUAAUUUGANUCANCACGGGGAAACUCACCAGGUNCAGA
rnacentral:rRNA from 1 species